UACGUAGGGGGCAAGCGUUAUCCGGAUUUACUGGGUGUAAAGGGAGCGUAGACGGCCAUGCAAGCCAGGGGUGAAAGCCCGGGGCCCAACCCCGGGACUGCCCUUGGAACUGCAUGGCUGGAGUGCCGGAGAGGCAGGCGGAAUUCCUAGUGUAGCGGUGAAAUGCGUAGAUAUUAGGAGGAACACCAGUGGCGAAGGCGGCCUGCUGGACCGUAACUGACGUUGAGGCUCGAAAGCGUGGGGAGCAAACAGG
rnacentral:rRNA from 1 species